GAUGCACGCUAGCUACAGGCUUAACACAUGCAAGUCGAGGGACCGGCGCACGGGUGAGUAACACGUAUCCAACCUGCCCUUUACUCGGGGAUAGCCUUUCGAAAGAAUGAUUAAUACCCGAUAUCAAGGAUGGGGAUGCGUUCCUUUAGUUUGUUGGUGAGGUAACGGCUCACUAAGCCUUCGACGGAUAGGGGUUCUGUGAGGAAGGUCCCCCCCAUUGGAACUGAGACACAGUCCAAUCUCGUACGGGAGGCAGCAGUGAGGAAUAUUGGUCAAGGGGCGCUAGCCUGAACCAGCCAAGUAGCGUGAAGGAUGAAGGCGUAUGGGUCAUAAACUUCUUUUAUAUAGGAAUAUGUAUUAUAUGAAUAAGGAUCGGCGAACUCCGUGCCAGCAGCCGCGGUAAUUC
rnacentral:rRNA from 1 species